rnacentral:rRNA from 1 species
GGGUUGUGAGGUUAAGCGACUAAGCGUACACGGUGGAUGCCCUGGCAGUCAGAGGCGAUGAAGGACGUGCUAAUCUGCGAAAAGCGUCGGUAAGGUGAUAUGAACCGUUACAGCCGGCGAUGUCCGAAUGGGGAAACCCAGUGCAAUUCGUUGCACUAUCGUUAACUGAAUACAUAGGUUAACGAGGCGAACCGGGGGAACUGAAACAUCUAAGUACCCCGAGGAAAAGAAAUCAACCGAGAUUCCCCCAGUAGCGGCGAGCGAACGGGGAGCAGCCCAGAGUCUGAAUCAGCUUGUGUGUUAGUGGAACGGUCUGGAAAGUCCGACGGUACAGGGUGAUAGUCCCGUACACCAAAAUGCACAGGUUGUGAACUCGAAGAGUAGGGCGGGACACGUGGUAUCCUGUCUGAAUAUGGGGGGACCAUCCUCCAAGGCUAAAUACUCCUGACUGACCGAUAGUGAACCAGUACCGUGAGGGAAAGGCGAAAAGAACCCCGGCGAGGGGAGUGAAAAAGAACCUGAAACCGUGUACGUACAAGCAGUGGGAGCACCUUCGGGUGUGACUGCGUACCUUUUGUAUAAUGGGUCAGCGACUUAUAUUCUGUAGCAAGGUUAACCGUAUAGGGGAGCCGCAGGGAAACCGAGUCUUAACUGGGCGUUAAGUUGCAGGGUAUAGACCCGAAACCCGGUGAUCUAGCCAUGGGCAGGUUGAAGGUUGGGUAACACUAACUGGAGGACCGAACCGACUAAUGUUGAAAAAUUAGCGGAUGACUUGUGGCUGGGGGUGAAAGGCCAAUCAAACCGGGAGAUAGCUGGUUCUCCCCGAAAGCUAUUUAGGUAGCGCCUCGUGAAUUCAUCUUCGGGGGUAGAGCACUGUUUCGGCUAGGGGGUCAUCCCGACUUACCAACCCGAUGCAAACUACGAAUACCGAAGAAUGUUAUCACGGGAGACACACGGCGGGUGCUAACGUCCGUCGUGAAGAGGGAAACAACCCAGACCGCCAGCUAAGGUCCCAAAGUCAUGGUUAAGUGGGAAACGAUGUGGGAAGGCACAGACAGCCAGGAUGUUGGCUUAGAAGCAGCCAUCAUUUAAAGAAAGCGUAAUAGCUCACUGGUCGAGUCGGCCUGCGCGGAAGAUGUAACGGGGCUAAACCAUGCACCGAAGCUGCGGCAGCGACACUAUGUGUUGUUGGGUAGGGGAGCGUUCUGUAAGCCUGCGAAGGUGUGCUGUGAGGCAUGCUGGAGGUAUCAGAAGUGCGAAUGCUGACAUAAGUAACGAUAAAGCGGGUGAAAAGCCCGCUCGCCGGAAGACCAAGGGUUCCUGUCCAACGUUAAUCGGGGCAGGGUGAGUCGACCCCUAAGGCGAGGCCGAAAGGCGUAGUCGAUGGGAAACAGGUUAAUAUUCCUGUACUUGGUGUUACUGCGAAGGGGGGACGGAGAAGGCUAUGUUAGCCGGGCGACGGUUGUCCCGGUUUAAGCAUGUAGGCUGGUUGUCCAGGCAAAUCCGGAUAAUCAAGGCUGAGGUGUGAUGACGAGGCACUACGGUGCUGAAGUAACAAAUGCCCUGCUUCCAGGAAAAGCCUCUAAGCAUCAGGUAACAUCAAAUCGUACCCCAAACCGACACAGGUGGUCAGGUAGAGAAUACCAAGGCGCUUGAGAGAACUCGGGUGAAGGAACUAGGCAAAAUGGUGCCGUAACUUCGGGAGAAGGCACGCUGGUGUGUAGGUGAAGUCCCUGCGGAUGGAGCUGAGACCAGUCGAAGAUACCAGCUGGCUGCAACUGUUUAUUAAAAACACAGCACUGUGCAAACACGAAAGUGGACGUAUACGGUGUGACGCCUGCCCGGUGCCGGAAGGUUAAUUGAUGGGGUUAUCCGUAAGGAGAAGCUCUUGAUCGAAGCCCCGGUAAACGGCGGCCGUAACUAUAACGGUCCUAAGGUAGCGAAAUUCCUUGUCGGGUAAGUUCCGACCUGCACGAAUGGCGUAAUGAUGGCCAGGCUGUCUCCACCCGAGACUCAGUGAAAUUGAACUCGCUGUGAAGAUGCAGUGUACCCGCGGCAAGACGGAAAGACCCCGUGAACCUUUACUAUAGCUUGACACUGAACAUUGAGCCUUGAUGUGUAGGAUAGGUGGGAGGCUUUGAAGCGUGGACGCCAGUCUGCGUGGAGCCAACCUUGAAAUACCACCCUUUAAUGUUUGAUGUUCUAACGUUGGCCCCUUACCGGGGUUGCGGACAGUGUCUGGUGGGUAGUUUGACUGGGGCGGUCUCCUCCCAAAGCGUAACGGAGGAGCACGAAGGUUAGCUAAUCCUGGUCGGACAUCAGGAGGUUAGUGCAAUGGCAUAAGCUAGCUUGACUGCGAGCGUGACGGCGCGAGCAGGUGCGAAAGCAGGUCAUAGUGAUCCGGUGGUUCUGAAUGGAAGGGCCAUCGCUCAACGGAUAAAAGGUACUCCGGGGAUAACAGGCUGAUACCGCCCAAGAGUUCAUAUCGACGGCGGUGUUUGGCACCUCGAUGUCGGCUCAUCACAUCCUGGGGCUGAAGUAGGUCCCAAGGGUAUGGCUGUUCGCCAUUUAAAGUGGUACGCGAGCUGGGUUUAGAACGUCGUGAGACAGUUCGGUCCCUAUCUGCCGUGGGCGCUGGAGAAUUGAGGGGGGCUGCUCCUAGUACGAGAGGACCGGAGUGGACGCAUCACUGGUGUUCGGGUUGUCAUGCCAAUGGCACUGCCCGGUAGCUAAAUGCGGAAGAGAUAAGUGCUGAAAGCAUCUAAGCACGAAACUUGCCCCGAGAUGAGUUCUCCCUGAGACUUUAAGUCUCCUGAAGGAACGUUAAAGACGAUGACGUUGAUAGGCCGGGUGUGUAAGCGCAGCGAUGCGUUGAGCUAACCGGUACUAAUGAACCGUGAGGCUUAACCUUACAACGCCGAAG